CUGCACCAACUGAGGCCUAUUAAGCGUGUUGCUUUUGAAGGGCCUGUAACAGGGAGGCGUUUCUAUGGCUGCCCAGUCCAGGAAAAUGGUGUGAAUUAUGGUGUUGCAAAGUGGGUUGAUGGGCCUUGGCCAACUGUUCUUCAGAGAUGUUUGUGCAAGCUAUGGGAGAUGUUCCAUGAGCAGAACUUUGGAAGGGUACAGGACAAGGAGAAGUUUGAGCAGGAGUUGGCCAGGCUUAAGACUAAAAAUGACAAGCUUUGCAUUGAGUACACCAAGCUUGUUGAUGAUGUAUCCAAGAUGUUUGAUUGGCAGGAUGGUAGGAUGGACAAGAAAUAAGUGGAGGAGGAAGAACUUGAGAAGAAGAAGAAGGAGCUAGAGGAGAAAACCAUGUUGGAGGUGCAGAUGGAAAAGCUCAAACUUGCAAAAGAGCAGAGGUGCAUUUUGCAGAGCCAAGCUGAUAUCAUCAAGAAAACUAGGAAGGCUAUGAAGGAUGUUGAAGUUGACAGAGAUGUUCUUAAGAAGGAGAAGGCAAAGCUUGAGCUUGUUGUUGCUGAGCUGCUGAAUGAAGGGUAUGGUAGCAAGGAGAAGUUAGAGCAAAUCAAGGCCAUCCUUGAAUCUUGA
rnacentral:rRNA from 1 species